rnacentral:rRNA from 1 species
UACGUAGGUGGCGAGCGUUAUCCGGAAUUAUUGGGCGUAAAGAGCGCGCAGGUGGUUGAUUAAGUCUGAUGUGAAAGCCCACGGCUUAACCGUGGAGGGUCAUUGGAAACUGGUCGACUUGAGUGCAGAAGAGGGAAGUGGAAUUCCAUGUGUAGCGGUGAAAUGCGUAGAGAUAUGAAGGAACACCAGAGGCGAAGGCGGCUUCCUGGUCUGUAACUGACACUGAGGCGCGAAAGCGUGGGGAGCAAACAGGAUUAGAUA